UAAAGAUACAAUACAGUACCAGACAUGUGUUAAAAAAAGUACUAACUAUUAUCCUAAUAAUUUCAGAUAAUAUCAAUCAAAUGUCAUUCAAACUACUGUAUAGUGAUGCCAGGGUAUCAAACUUAUAUACUGUCACUUUAAAUUCGUUAUAACCACAUUCAUUUUAUCACAGAAUGCAAACAGGGUAAUUAAAAAACAGCGCCGAUUGCAGUCCAAAUUCAAAAACAUUAUAAAACACUUUUAUAAAUCACACUUAUUUUUGACAUCCCUUUUAUAUGACAAAAUAUAUUUACUUUAUGAUAAAACUUUAGAAUUAUGUGGUCAAUGCAUAGCCUCAGCAGUUUCAACGUUUUUUUCUGUAAGACGCCACCAAAAUCCAUUAAUCUCUCAAAGUCUUGCAGAGGUCAAAGAUUUUGUCAAUUUUAUACUGAAGAGCCUAUCAGAUUCAUUUCCUGUUAACAUGGUUAAAAUAUACUGUUUCAAGACCACUGCUUGUAGAAGUGGUCAUUAACUUUUACUGUUGUCACAUAAACAUGCAAUUUUUUCACCCAAUUUCAAGUUUUUGAAGUUUUUUUACCAUAAAAGAGGGACGAAAGAUACCAAAGGGACAGUCAAACUCAUAAAUCCAAAACAAACUGACAACGCCAUGGCUAAAAAUGAAAAAGACAAACAGAAAAACAAUAGUACACACGACACAACAUAGAAAACUAAAGAAUAAACAACACGAACCCCACCAAAACUAGGGGUGAUCUCAGGUGCUCCAGAAGGGUAAGCAGAUCCUGCUCCACAUGUGGCACC
rnacentral:lncRNA from 1 species